UGCCAGACUCCUACGGGAGGCAGCAGUGAGGAAUAUUGGUCAAUGGUCGGGAGACUGAACCAGCCAAGCCGCGUGAGGGAUGAAGGUACAGAGUAUCGUAAACCUCUUUUGUCAGGGAACAAAGGCGGGGACGCGUCCCCGGAUGAGUGUACCUGAAGAAAAAGCAUCGGCUAACUCCGUGCCAGCAGCCGCGGUAAUACGGAGGAUGCGAGCGUUAUCCGGAUUUAUUGGGUUUAAAGGGUGCGUAGGCGGGCUUUUAAGUCAGCGGUAAAAAUUCGGGGCUCAACCCCGUCCGGCCGUUGAAACUGGGGGCCUUGAGUGGGCGAGAAGAAGGCGGAAUGCGUGGUGUAGCGGUGAAAUGCAUAGAUAUCACGCAGAACUCCGAUUGCGAAGGCAGCAUACCGGCGCCCAACUGACGCUGAAGCACGAAAGCGUGGGUAUCGAACAGGAUUAGAUACCCUAGUAGC
rnacentral:rRNA from 1 species